UACGUAGGUGGCAAGCGUUGUCCGGAUUUACUGGGCGUAAAGAGCGCGCAGGCGGUCGAAUAAGUCGAAUGUGAAAGCCCCCGGCUCAAACUGGGGAGGGUCAUUCGAUACUGAUCGACUCGAAGGCAGGAGAGGGUAGUGGAAUUCCCGGUGUAGUGGUGAAAUGCGUAGAUAUCGGGAGGAACACCAGUGGCGAAGGCGACUACCUGGCCUGUUCUUGACGCUGAGGCGCGAAAGCUAGGGGAGCAAACGGG
rnacentral:rRNA from 1 species